GGCAGUGAUCUAGCUUGGAUAUGAUGCGCGCUUUGGGUGCGUGUAAUCGGGGGUUCAAACAAGUGGCUGAUAAUUCAGUCCCAUUGGAAGUCCUCCCUGCCCCA
rnacentral:tRNA from 1 species